UUGCUUUAGCAGCAUAUAUACUAAAAUUGGAAUGAUACAGAGAAGAUUAGCAUGGCCCCUGUGCAAGAAUGACACACAAAUUCGUGAAGAAUACCAUAUUUUU
rnacentral:snRNA from 1 species